AGCGCUUUCAGCAGCUAGCAACGCAUAGCGAAGAGGUGCUGGGAUCUCGUGAGGAGAGAGGGCUUUUCCCAGUGCCCGGACAGUGUGCUCAGUCUGCAGAGAUGCCAGCCAGACAACUUAACACCUGCCAGAAGGACAGAGGGGGCCUGAGGCUCCUUUUCCGGCUGCUUCCCAUCCUGUUCACUCUUGGCUACUGGUGCGGUGCGACGAUGUGGCUCAAGGAUGUGUUGUGGGUAAGCGCCUCUUGCUGUGGGGAAGUCAGCAUCUGCAAAGGCCAUGGCUCUGCCCUCCUGCCUUCCCUGAGAACAUGGGGCGCCUGGCCAGAAAUACCCAUCACCACUGGGGCGGUGUUGGGGGGAGGCACCUGUGCUCAUCCUCCAGUCUCCUCAGUGGCUUGAUGGGGUUCAGAGUGGGGCUCCUCCUCAGUGACCUCCACAGGGUGGCAGGCUGAAGAGGGGAGCACUGUGCCAGAAGGUGCCUUUGCUGCUUGCAUACCUCUUGGAGGGCUGUGGGGUUCAGAUGGAGACCCAAAAGCUUCUCUGCUGAACGUGGCUGGUUAGGGAACCCAACCUUUGGGUCAGGGUUUCUCCAAAGUGACUCAAAGCAGCAGGAUGUUCUUCCAGCUCUACCUAGGGUAGUCUCCUUUGGGAAGCCCUGGCAGUGAUCCUCACGCUUAUGCGGUAUGUUAAUUUUGCAGACGUCCAGGCCUCACGGAGCUGAGCAGGAACUACUGGGGUAAGAGUGCUUUCUUCCUAAGGGGCACACCCUGUGGAGCUGUCUCAGACGGCCUCGUGCUGCCUGCCCUUGCCUUGUGUCCAGGGAUCUUGAUCCUCCCUAUGGGUGGUGGAAGGGAGCCAUCUGUAAGCCGGAGGAAGGAAUGGGGCUGGGGGAUGUGGGGUGACCCAA